GAACGCUGGCGGCAGGCCUAACACAUGCAAGUCGAGCGGAUGAAGGGAGCUUGCUCCUGGAUUCAGCGGCGGACGGGUGAGUAAUGCCUAGGAAUCUGCCUGGUAGUGGGGGAUAACGUCCGGAAACGGGCGCUAAUACCGCAUACGUCCUGAGGGAGAAAGUGGGGGAUCUUCGGACCUCACGCUAUCAGAUGAGCCUAGGUCGGAUUAGCUAGUUGGUGGGGUAAAGGCCUACCAAGGCGACGAUCCGUAACUGGUCUGAGAGGAUGAUCAGUCACACUGGAACUGAGACACGGUCCAGACUCCUACGGGAGGCAGCAGUGGGGAAUAUUGGACAAUGGGCGAAAGCCUGAUCCAGCCAUGCCGCGUGUGUGAAGAAGGUCUUCGGAUUGUAAAGCACUUUAAGUUGGGAGGAAGGGCAGUAAGUUAAUACCUUGCUGUUUUGACGUUACCAACAGAAUAAGCACCGGCUAACUUCGUGCCAGCAGCCGCGGUAAUACGAAGGGUGCAAGCGUUAAU
rnacentral:rRNA from 1 species